GGAGGCAUAGCUCAGUCGGUUAGAGCGCUCGCUUCACAUGCGAGAGGUCGAGAGUUCGAGUCUCCCUGUCUCCACCA
rnacentral:tRNA from 1 species